rnacentral:tRNA from 1 species
AGAAGAUUAGUUUAAAUUAAAAUAUUAGAUUGUAAAUCUAAAGAAAGUUCUUCUG